AACAGAGGGCAGAGUUUCUUAACUGAGUGCUGCAACACGAGAUUUCAUACAGCAGGAAACCAAAGGAAGAGACAACAAGUUACUAAAUAGAAAGAAAAAAGUCAGGUGUGCAAUUAUCAACCUCUCAACAACUGCUCCAUACGUACUGAGGCUUUGUUUUGACUCGACAAUAGUGACCUUCCAACGAUUCACAAAGGAUUUGGAGCUUUUUAUAUCUCACAGGUCUGUACAGACAAUUGAGGAACAAGUAGAUCAGUGGAGAAAAUCUACCAGCAUAGCAGCACCUGUGGGAGGAAAGGAAUUGUCCAAUCUCUGAAUCAGGGCACCUGCAUCCAAGAUCACUCGUUGAGCAGUUUUCCUGAAUUAAUACCAACUCUCCUCACAGUUAUGACUUCAGCAAAAUUACAUUGGAAGCCAAAAUAGCUCUUUCAGCUAUUGUGGACAAGGACAGAAUGAAUGCUGCACUGAAGGGACGAGUUGGUGAAUCCACUGAAGGUGCAAAGGAACCAGCAUUUUAGAGCUUUGCAAGCUAGACACAGUUUUUAGGUUCCAAGAUACUUCACAGCAUGGAUAGCACUGUUCCAGAGACCUGGAUUCUGGAUUCAAUCCUGAUCUCUGGCACUGUCUGUGUGGAGUUUGCAUGUUCUCUGUUAGUCAUUGUGGGAUUCCACCUACUCUGAUUUUCUCCUGCAUUUCAAUGAUAUGCAAGUUGGUCAGUUAGGUGGUCUUUGUAAAUUGCCCUGAGUGUGUAGGCACGUGGUGAAAUGUGGCUGGAGUUACUGGGAAAUUGGGAAGAAUAAUAAAUGGGGCUAGUGUAGGAUUAAUGUGAAUGGGUGCCUGACGGCUGGCAUGGACUCUGUUGGCAAAGAGCCUACUCUGUAGUGUAUGAUAUGAUGAAGUUGCCAGGUGGGAGAUGCCAUAAGUGUCCUCAAUAAUUGCCUGCAUUUCUGUGAGCCUUGAAACGCUGCCAACUGUCAUGUUAAUGUAAAUACAUAGGACACAUCUUUAAAAAUUUGAUGGCGCAGCAUUACCACUGGGUUUUUCCUUGACACCUGUACCAUAGCAAUAAGGAAGAAAGUAUCACAUGUGGCACACUUAGUCCAAAGAACUGGCUGCUUUCUCCAGUCAAUCUGUUCCAGUACAGUUAUAACACCGAACACCAACUUUCAAACAGGCAUUCCAGUCCAAGCACCAUCACAGCAAGAGAUUAUAAAUGGAGAGAGGAAAUGAUUUAAGGAUGGUUUCAAAGUGAGAGUUUGCACACAGAGAGAAACAAGAAGAUGAAGAAGAUAACAUUGGCAUCUACUCAACAUUCUGGUGGUGUCCAUGAGCUAACUAUUCCACUUGUGGAAUUGCAUGGAAAGUCCUGCAGAGAUUGUGUGUCAACUUUUCUGAAGGAUUCUGGGGCUCAUUUGAAAUCCAGCCUCCAUUUUAAUAUGAUUAACUGUGGCCUGCCUGACAAUGGGGAUGAAACCUAUCGCACAGGUGGAAUGAAUUGAAAUUUGAAAAAUAGAGAACAGGAAGACCAAAACAAAGCUACAUAUUGGGAGGGGCACCGUCGCAUUACAGUUUUAACAGAAGUCACUUGCGAUCUCUUCAAAGAUGGGAUUGGUUAAGCUGCAGUUGAAGUUCUUUCAUAACACACUAUUACACACAUUUUCUGCUGAACACGAUCAAUUUCUAAAUUCUGGAACUUUCUUCCCAAUGGACCAGACAACUGCAGCUGUUUCAGGAGGCCGUUCUGCACCGCUUCUCAAAGGGAUGUGCAAUAAUUAAGUGCUUUUCCAGCAAUGCCCUCAUUCUGAAAUGAAUAAAAACAAAGGACUCGGGAAACCAAUUGGAGUUUCUGCACGGGAGGUGUCAACUAGAUUCGUAUAUUUUACAGAAAUGUGAUAUCAUCCUCCCUAAUGAAGGGCUUUGGUCUAAAACGUUAACUGUUUAUUCCCCUCUUUAGAUGUUGCCUGACUUGCUGAGUUCCCGCAGCAUUUUGUGUGUGUUUCGUAGAAGGGUCCUGAGCUGAAAGUGUUGCAGGACUCGACUUAGGUGAGCUGAUUGAUGCACCAUCAAUAACUCUCUCUGAGACGUAAAGGCGAGAU